rnacentral:rRNA from 1 species
UACGUAGGGCGCAAGCGUUUGUCCGGAAUUAUUGGGCGUAAAGAGCUCGUAGGCGGCUUGUCACGUCGGGUGUGAAAGCUCGGGGCUUAACCCCGGGUCUGCAUUCGAUACGGGCUGGCUGGAGUGUGGUAGGGGGAGAUCGGAAUUCCUGGUGUAGCGGUGAAAUGCGCAGAUAUCAGGAGGAACACCGGUGGCGAAGGCGGAUCUCUGGGCCAUUACUGACGCUGAGGAGCGAAAGCGUGGGGAGCGAACAGG